rnacentral:rRNA from 1 species
GACGAACGCUGGCGGCAGGCCUAAUACAUGCAAGUCGAACGGUAACAUAAAAGAAGCUUGCUUCUUUUGAUGACGAGUGGCGGACGGGUGAGUAAUAUUUGGGAAACUACCUGAUAGAGGGGGACAACAGUUGGAAACGACUGCUAAUACCGCAUAAAGCCUGAGGGUGAAAGCAGCAAUGCGCUAUCAGAUGUGCCCAAACGGGAUUAGCUAGUAGGUGAGGUAAAGGCUCACCUAGGCGACGAUCUCUAGCUGGUCUGAGAGGAUGAUCAGCCACAUUGGGACUGAGAUACGGCCCAGACUCCUACGGGAGGCAGCAGUGGGGAAUAUUGGGCAAUGGGGGGGAAAA